GCCACCCAGGCGCCCCUGUUGUUGCCAUUUUAAAUCACAUCACUUGAAUGCCUUGAUUGUUGCAUACGUCUGGGUCAUGUUAUAAUUCAAAAUUAUGUUUUGAGUAGUAUUAUAGACCUGCAAAUGGAUGCUCUGUCUGGGAUAGGUGAGGUAGCCACCUUAGGUUUCUUUAAAUUUCCUUAAAAGCAGUGUUUCUCAGCGUGUGGUCCCCAGACUGACAGCAAUAGAAUUACCUGGGAAUUUAUGAGAUGUACAGAUUCUCAGGCUCCUUCCCAGGCCCACUAAAUCAGAAAUUCUGGCAAUCUAUGUUUUAAGAAGACUCCAGGUGACUCUGAUGCCAGUUUAAGUUUGAGAGCCACUGCUUAAGAGGAUCCUGAUCCCACCUUCAGCUUGGCCAAUCAUGUCAUCAUCUGGGUCUGCCCUUAAAUACCAACUUAGAAUACUUGUACAUGUUUGGGAAUAUAACCUUACAUUCACUGCUACUUGUUACUAGAUUUUAUUUGUAAGCAAUCUCUACAUGCAACGUGGGGCUCAAACUCACAACCCCAAGAUCAAGAGUCGCUUGCUCUACCGACUGAGCCAGUCAGGCACCCUGAGACUUCAUUUCUAGUGAAGCCUGCUGUUAAAGAGAGUUUGAAAAGUAUUGUCACAAACCAGAGUACCUGGACUACACUGUUUUGGCCCUCCCUAUGUUUACUUUAAAAAAAAAAUCUGAUUCAGGGUGCCUGGGUGGCUCUGUCGGUUGAGCGUCCAACUUCAGCUCAGGUCAUGGUCUCAUGAGUUCAAGCCCCACAUUGAACUCACAGCUGUCAGUGCAGAGCCCUAACUCUAACUCAUCAAUAUUGAGAGGCAUCAUUUUUUUAAAAAAACAACCUGUGGAAAAACAUUGUUGUAUUCACUGAUACACUGUGUGAUGCUCCGUAAUAUAGUGCAGUGUUCCCCUUAUGAGGACCCAUAGGACAAAAUGCUUCUAUCUCAGAACCAUACAUGUUGUGCUUCUAUGGAGGAAACUGUUUACUUUUAUUUCAGGAACACAGUGAAACAUAUGCAUUAUUCUGUUUUCCUUUUUGCAUCGACUGCAAGAAAUCUUAGAGCCAAAUUUUGUGUUCUACUUCCUUCCCCUGUCCCAUGCCCUUUUGCCUAGAUUUUCUGUUAAUUUUUUCAAUGGAUAUUUUAGUGACAUAUCUUAGGUUCAUUUUCAAAUAGGGUGGAGUGUGAGUAAAUAAAUAAGUAUAUAGGAAAUUAUUAGCAUUUGAGUAGUAGUGGAAAUUGAGGGGUGAAUGAGAUAACCCAGGGAGAGUGGGCAAAAUAGGAAGAGACAACGGCCAAGGACCCCCCAGAAAAGCAAAUUUAUGUGGUUGGCUAAAGAAGGAGAAACCAGAGAAAGGGAACUAGCAACAGAGAGCACUUCAAGAAAGAGGAACUGGCCAGUGGUGUCCAAGAGUAGAAAGAAGUCACGUAAGAUAAAAACUGAAAAAUGGUCAUUGGAUUUAGCAGCAAGGAAGACAGUGGGGACCUUCACAACAGUUUCAGCAGAGACCCUGCUCUACUUCAGUAUGUGAAGCCGCUUGCUGUACACAUCAGUUUGCCAUCCAGGAACUCUCAGGAGGGUUUAGAUAUCAAGGUACAGAAGUCCUUUCUGGCCCUACGACCCAGCAAUUGCACUACUAGGCAUUUAUCCAAGGGAUACAGGUGUGCUGUUUCGAAGGAGCACAUGCACCCCAAUGUUUAUAGCAGCACUAUAAACAACAGCCAAAUUAUGGAAA